GUACCUGUUUGCCUUUGACGACCCAGCCUCCUAAGCUGUUCAGCUGACCUGGCUGCCCUUGCCACCAGGGAUUCAGGGACAGUCCUUGUGAUGGUUUGAAUGGUGCUUCACGAAUCAAAGACCUUCUACUUGACAACAAUUCAACAACCAUAGUAUUCAUGGCAGCACUCUAAUGCCAAGGAAGAAAUAUGUCAUCUUGUGCACAAGCAGAAGGAGAGGACAUGCUGACAGGGAAGUCCAGAACUCACCUCUGUGGCAAUGACACAUUCGUUCCUCUCUUCUGAUAUCAAGCAUACUGACUGGUAC